UCCCAGCCGCCACUUCCCCUCCUCAGUUCCUCUCUCUCACUCCCUGUCCGGCGCCGCAGGGCCUCAUUCUCCAAUCUCCAUUUCCGCCUUCUCGGCACUCCGCCGCCAGAUGCCAGCCGCCAAAUCCCUAGAAAAUCGCCUAUUUCAAUCCUCAGUCAUCUCUCAAGUUGGCAUUAUCAUCGGCAAGCUAAGCCCUAAUUAUGCGAGGUUUUGUGUACGAUCUGAUCCCAACUCCUCUCACUGACGGUGGAUCUCCCACUUGGGCUCUCAAAUCAGAACCUGCUACCAGAGAGGACAAGAAGAAUCCAGAGGCGGGAAAUCUUCGAAUGAGUCGCCGCCUUCGAUCGGAAUUGACAGCGGAUUGGGUCGCUGAGCACGCUAGACAAGUUUCGAGAAUGUUGAUAGGUGGUAUGCAUGUGAUUGGUGUUUAUUUGUAGGCACCAGAGUCUUCGUUGAAGGCUACUUCGCCUUCAAUCAUAUCUCAGGGAACAUACACCAUACAAGGCUGGAGAUGGUACCAAUAUCGAUGGGUAAAUCUUGUUGAAUUUUUUGUUCUGACCAUGUUUUAUAGUUUGUCAUGUAAUCCAAUUUUUCUACAGAGUAUGAUUUAUUGUCUUAAUAUAUUUUGAGCUAAAAGUAUUUAGCCUGUCACCAUUCCUUCAUGUUUUUAAUGCUCUUUUUAGCUUGCUUAUUAUUUUUUAUUCUUUCAUUAUUUUUAGAGAGUUUUACCACGAUCGUAGUUGAAGUUCUAUCUGUUAUUCUUAACACUUUUUAUUUAUUUAUGUUUCCAGACAUUGUUUUUGUUUUUAAUUUCAUGCUUUUUGCAAUUUGCUCAUUAGUCUCUUACAUACCAAGGGAUCCUGCAAAUUGGUCUCUCAAUGACCAAAAUUCCAUCGUCUUUUGUUUUUUUUGAACCAGAGGGGUUUUUUUGGGGCAUAAGAUGAGGGCAUUUUUGUCAUUUAAGUUGAAGUUCUAUCUGUUAUUCUUAACACUUUUUAUUUAUUUAUGUUUCCAGACAUUGUUCUUGUUUUUAAUUUCAUGUUUUUUGUAAUUUGCUCAUUAGUCUCUUACAUCCCAAGGGAUCUUGCAAAUUGGUCUCUCAAUGACCAAAAUUCCCAUCGUCUUUUGUUUUUUUGAACCAGAGGUUUUUUUUAGGGGCAUAAGAUAAGGGCAUUUUUGUCAUUUUGGAAUCAAUUUGCAAGAAUUAGGAUUUGAGGGGCUUAUGGGGAAUUUUAAAGAUGUGAGACUAAUUUUUGGGGCUGAUAACCUAAUCUCCAAGUUGCGUAAAAGUGGUGAUAUUUAAGCCCUUACAUCAAUGCUUAAGCUCUUGAAUGCUUAAGCUCUUGAAUCAUGUCUCGGGUUCAAGUAACUUUUACAUUUAUAAUAUAAUGCACUAAAAUGCAAUCCGAAUGUACUUAAUGAAAUCAAAUGUAAAUAAUAUAUGUUUAGGAUCACUAAUUGGGCUAUAUCAGGGAUAUUUAGGACAAUGGAUUAGAGAAGUCUCCAUGAUUAGCAUCUUUAUGCAAUGCACAUACACUUUAUUUAAUUUGAAGAGGUAUGAUUUUUUUCUAGUUAUAACAUUGUAAUUAUUACAUGUAGAAUAGUAUUAAGAUAAAUUAAGAGCUAUUUGGUUGUUUUCUAUAAAAUAACAAAACUACAAUUUCCUUGUUUUUCAUGAUAUUUCUUAGAAUUGAUUUUACCUAGAUUUCUUGUGUUGGGAGUUGAUUGAGAGAAGUAAUUCAAAAGUAGUUUUUGCAAAAAUCUCUUAGUAUUCUACCCUCUUAGGACGUACUAAGAGGCAUUUGAUAGUUUUUGAUAAUAUAAGUUUUCUAGUGCUUGCAAUAUUAAAAGCUAUAACCGGUGCAACAUUUCAUAUUUAACCCUAUUACUACCGGCUUUAGACUAUGCGAAAGCAUAAAGUCAUAUAUUAAAAUCCGACUUCUACAUUAUAGAAGAUUUCUCAUGUCUAGUGAUUCCUCUUAUGGUUGGUGGAAUAGUAAUAUUUUUUUCUUGAAGUAAUUGUUUUAGCACCUCAGUUUCAAAAUAAAUAUUGCAUGUACAAGACUUUUUUUCUACUCUUAUCAGUGAUCGUGGUGAUGGUAACUCAGAAGAAAAUGAAGCUGUUGGUGCUGUUUCGGAGGAUACAUUAGAACCCGAUGAAAUGUAAGAUCUUUACAAAUGUGCGUGUGUAUAUAAACUUAUUUUUCAUAUUAUUUUUUGAUGUAAUAUUUUGUUACCAGGGAUACAGUACGCUUUCCUUCAUGUUUUUAGAGAAGAUCGUGAGCGCCUCGUACCACCAGUACAUCUAUCAGCAGCAAAAAGGGAGGCCUGCGAUCUACGCUCAGCUUGGAACAAGAUGAACGAGUGUAAGGUUGGCUGCAGAUGAUUGGGAAGUUAUAAAGACUUGUACUAAGUUGGCCACAGUUGCAAAAAACAUCUUAUGAUUGAAAGGAAGCAAUUGCACUUCGAUUUUGUCCACUGGGCCUGCCACCAAUGGAAGAAAUAUGUCGAGGGACCCUAUGCUUUGGUCAAUGGGUUGGAGAGGGCGACUCGAGUUCUUCAAGCAGAGAAUGAAAUGCUGAAAACUGAGAAAGAGGAGCUGCUUGAGAGACUUUUACCCGCCGGCGCGUGUAGCUUUGCUAAUGUAGUGAUAGGCUGGGCAUUUUUCUUGUGGCUUCAAACGAAACUAGACGUAGUAAAAUAUAGUAGUGUGACACUUUCUGUCGUUUUGUUCUGAUCUGUAAGUAUUUUGACUUACAUGAUUGCUAAGGAAGAUCUUCUGUUGUAUUGUAUUACUACAUAUUAUCAGUGUCUAUUGUAUUGUAUUACUGCAUAAAAUGUAGUAGUGUGACACUUCCUCAUUUUGUCCUGAUCUGUAUUACUACAUAUUAUGAGCUUCUAUUGUAUUGUAUUACUACUUAAAAUGUAGUAGCGUGACUCUUCCU